ACUGCUCAGUAACACGUGGACAACCUACCCAAGAGUCAGGGAUAACCCCGGGAAACUGGGGAUAAUACCUGAUAGGCCACGACAUCUGGAAUCGAGUCGUGGUUUAAACGUAAGGCUCUUGGAUGGGUCUGCGGCGGAUUAGGUUGUUGCCGGUGUAACGUACCAGCAAGCCUGUAAUCCGUACGGGUUGUGGGAGCAAGAGCCCGGAGAUGGAUUCUGAGACACGAAUCCAGGCCCUACGGGGCGCAGCAGGCGCGAAAACUCUACAAUGCAGGCAACUGCGAUAGGGGAACAUCGAGUGGCACCCACCAUGGGUGUCUGUCCAGCCGUCUAAAAAACGGCUGUUAGCAAGGGCCGGGCAAGACCGGUGCCAGCCGCCGCGGUAAUACCGGCGGCUCGAGUGGUGGCCGAUAUUAUUGAGUCUAAAGGGUCCGUAGCCGGCUUUGCAAGUCCCCUGGGAAAUCCAGCGGCUUAACCGUUGGGCUUUCAUGGGAUACUACAUUGCUUGGGACUGGGAGAGGUAGGAGGUACUCAGGGGGUAGGGGUGAAAUCCUGUAAUCCUCUGGGGACCACCGGUGGCGAAGGCGUCCUACCAGAACAGGUCCGACGGUGAGGGACGAAAGCUAGGGGCACGAACCGGAUUAGAUACCCGGGUAGUCCUAGCCGUAAACGAUGCUCGCUAGGUGUCACGGCAGUCGUGAAUUGUCGUGGUGCCGUAGGGAAGCCGUGAAGCGAGCCACUUGGGAAGUACGACCGCAAGGUUGAAACUUAAAGGAAUUGGCGGGGGAGCAC
rnacentral:rRNA from 1 species